GACGAACGCUGGCGGCGUGCUUAACACAUGCAAGUCGAGCGGUAAGGCCCUUUCGGGGGUACACGAGCGGCGAACGGGUGAGUAACACGUGGGUGACCUGCCCUCAGCUCUGGGAUAAGCCUGGGAAACCGGGUCUAAUACUGGAUAUGACUCCAUGACGCAUGUUGUGGGGUGGAAAGCCUUGUGCGGCUGAGGAUGGGCCCGCGGCCUAUCAGCUUGUUGGUGGGGUGANGGCCUACCAAGGCGACGACGGGUAGCCGGCCUGAGAGGGCGACCGGCCACACUGGGACUGAGACACGGCCCAGACUCCUACGGGAGGCAGCAGUGGGGGAUCUUGCGCAAUGGGCGAAAGCCUGACGCAGCGACGCCGCGUGAGGGAUGACGGCCU
rnacentral:rRNA from 1 species